rnacentral:lncRNA from 1 species
CGACUGGGACCGGGACUGGGACCGGGACUGGGACUGGGACCGGGGCGAACCUUUUGUCUUUUGUAAUUUUAUGCGACAAUUUUUUUCUCCAACUCUCGUUUCCCGCGCUCUCUCUCUCUCCGUCUCUCUGUAGUCUGCUCUAUCGGCCUUUCGGGUCUCGAAAGUAAAUUAGAAUAUGGCGGAUGGAAGAAGGAGGAAGGAGCCUACAAAGCAUUCAAAGAAUGCGGAGAAAAAGUAUUGAAUAACAUUUUGAUAUGCUUAGAAUUUGGUUCCAAUUCGGAUAUGGCAAAUGUCAACGGCAGCUGCGUGACUCUCCCCCCCGAACCCGAUUCCCCUUGAAACGGGAAAUGAAAUGAAAAGAAAAACGAAACGAAACGAAGCUCAAGUGCAAUUGAAUGGAAAUGAGAGCCACGCCCCUUACGAUUGGGCAAAAGGAAGAGACCGAAAGGAAGAAUUAUAAUAAUAAAAAAAAAGGAAAAGGAGCGAAAUAAAACUUGAGUCGCUGACCACGCAAAAC